rnacentral:lncRNA from 1 species
CCGGCUUUCCAGGAGCCGGCGGGAGCGGGGUGCGUAAGAGGCGGGCGAGGAAGAACCGGCGGGCAACGGGAAGGGCAGAGGUGGAUCUCUCCCUCAGCGACCCCUCUCGCCGAGUGAAGGGUCGAGGGUUUGGGGCACAAAGGGCGCAGAACGUUUUUUCCUGUGAGAGGAACAUUAAGACUCCUGGGAGGGCUGGGGCUAACGCCUCCGAGAGCCCCACCUGGUCAGCCUAGGGUUAGACGUGUAGCCAGGGUGCUGGGAGGGGGCCGCUGCUGGGCCCCAGAUAGAGGGGUAGAGGCCGCUCAAUCACGGAGCCAGGCCCCACCUGCUGUAGAAACCGCCACCGAGAGCCGGCCGGGCUUGCUGCACGCUCUGGAUUCCGCCUGCCUAUAGGCGAGGCACAAGGGACUGCGAGACCAGGCCUGAAGGCAGAGAGGUCAGCAGGCUCGGGGGCCUCUGCUCCAGCGGACAACAAGCGCACCGGGCGGGAACGGCCGCCUCCCCAGGCGCUGCAGCCUAGCUCUCAUGUGACCCACGGAACUUAGCCCCUCUGUUCUGUUUGCAUACCUGCAAAUUGUGGGCAUUCACGCCGGGACUGCCAACUCACCAGGUUAUUUAUAGUGACAAGAGAGUGAGACAGUGGGCUUGAAAGUGUUUUCCAGACCAAGGCUCUGUCCCACAUAUAGGUGGAUUAACUGUCUGGCAAAGGCAGGUGAGUAACGUUGAUGCCUAUCAGCUCUCAUGUGGAUACUGUUUGGACUGGGAUGUAGUUCUUUGACCUGGGGUGAGCUGUAUAGCAACCCUGGAGGGAUGCCUAUCACACAUUACAGUAUCUGAAAGACACUCACAUUCUGACCCUCACAAUGUAGUCAGUCCAUUUCCAACAAUGCUGGUUUUAAAGGAUGUAAAUUGCAGUGCAGGGAGUUGUCAGACACCAAGGAGUAAUGAUCAAAAUAUGAUGGUCAUUGGACCUUAUCUUGGGAGAAAGAGCUAAAACUGUGUUCUAGAUAGUCUCACAGACUUGAACAUGCUUUGGAUUUUAGGUUUUUGCAAAUCAGGCUUGUUCUAAUAUUUUCUCCCACAUGCUAUGGUAGGAGCCCCAUGAUCUCUUGUUUCUCCCUAGGAAUCCAUUGAAGAGGCCAUCUCCACAUUCAGAACCAAGCUUCUGCUUUGUACUCUGGAAAAUGCCAGCCACCCAUGAGGAGAGACCACCCUGCUAGCCACAGGGAGAGGCUAUGUGAAAAGAAAGAGAUGCCUGGCCAGCUCUAGCUCUUCAGCUCAUCCCAGCUGAGCUACCAGACACAUGAGUGGAAAAGCCCUUAGGAAGUUCCAGCUCCAGCAGACACCAUACUGAACAGAGGAGAGAUAAGCCAUCCCCACGGAGCACUGCCAAAAUGACGGCAUUGUGAACAAAUAAAUGAUCAUUGUUUUAAGGCA